UGAGCGAAAGCUCGACUUAGUCAAGGCCAAAAGAGCCGGUAAAACUCGUGCCAGCCACCGCGGUUAUACGAGGGGCUCAAAUUGAUAUUACACGGCGUAAAGCGUGAUUAAAAAACAAAAAAACUAAAGCCAAACACUUCCCAAGCUGUCAUACGCUACCGGAACAUAAACGAAGCCCUAUAACGAAAGUAGCUUUAACACCUUUGAACU
rnacentral:rRNA from 1 species